rfam:Camelus ferus unplaced genomic scaffold scaffold884, whole genome shotgun sequence.
GAGGGUAUAGCUCUGUGGUAGACCACAUGCUUAGCACACAUGAGGUCCUGGGUUCAAUCCCCAGUACAUCCA